GCGGUACUCUGACCGUGCAAAGGUAGCAUAAUCAUUUGCCUUAUAAUUGAAGGCUAGUAUGAAUGGUUUGACGAGAAUUAAGCUGUCUCUUUUCAACUAAAUAUAAUUUUAUUUAUAGGUGAAGAAGCCUAUAUUCUAUUGAAAGACAAGAAGACCCUAUCGAGCUUAAAAGAAUUUAAUAAAUUUAUCAUAUAUUUAUAAAAAAGUAAAAUUAUUAAAGAUUUUGGUUGGGGCGACUGAGGAACAAGAAAAGCUUCCUUUAUUUUCAUUAAAACUUACAAGUAUUGAUCCAAUAAAUUUGAUUAAAGAAAUUAGUUACCGUAGGGAUAACAGCAUAAUCCUCUUUGAGAGCCCUUAUCGAAAAGGGGGUUUGUGACCUCGAUGUUGGACCAGAAUAUCCAGAAGAUGCAGCCGUCUUCAAUGGUUGGUCUGUUCGACCAUUAAAAUUCU
rnacentral:rRNA from 1 species